GAUCCUAUAACGGCCUGAGGGGUUUUAGUCGGUAGGUCCGAGGACACCUUCCUCGGGAAUCCGACACUACCCAGUCGUGCGGACGGCUGGGUGUCUUUUGAAGAUUUCCCCUCUUC
rfam:Agrilus planipennis Contig33623, whole genome shotgun sequence.